UACGGGGGAGCAAGCGUUGUUCGGAUUUACUGGGCGUAAAGGGCGCGUAGGCGGCGCAACAAGUCACUUGUGAAAUCUUCAGGCUUAACCUGAAGCGGCCAAGUGAUACUGUCGUGCUAGAGUGCGGAAGGGGCAACUGGAAUUCUUGGUGUAGCGGUGAAAUGCGUAGAUAUCAAGAGGAACACCUGGCGGCGAAGGCGGGUUGCUGGGC
rnacentral:rRNA from 1 species